UCUCUCAUAGUACAACUGGUAAUACACACAUUACUUAUUUGAAGGCGUUGCGACCUGGCAUGAUUAUACGUCGGUGUGAGAUCUGGGUUCGAUUCCCGGUGGGAGAG